rnacentral:miRNA from 1 species
CUGCAGAGGGGGCCCAGCACACUGCUUCUACUCUUCUCUUCUACUCUCUUCCAAUAACUCUUGCGAGACCCGUGGAUCGUUUCCAUGGUAACCGGGUCUCACAAGAGUUAUUAGAAGAGAAGAGAAGAGUAGAGGCAGUGUGCUGGGCCCCCUCUGCGG